rnacentral:rRNA from 1 species
UCGAGAAUCUUCCGCAAUGGGCGAAAGCCUGACGGAGCGACGCCGCGUGCAGGACGAAGGCCUUCGGGUUGUAAACUGCUGUCAAAGGUUAUGAACAAGCGUCGGUUAAUACCCGGCGACCUGACAAAAGCCUGAGAGGAAGUCACGGCUAACUUCGUGCCAGCAGCCGCGGUAAGACGAAGGUGGCAAGCGUUGCUCGGAAUUACUGGGCAUAAAGCGCACGUAGGUUGCGAGGUCAGCGAGGAGUGAAAUCCCAUGGCUCACCCAUGGAACUGUUCCUCGAACUGCCUUGCUUGAGGGCGGGAGGGGAGAGUGGAAUUCCUGGUGUAGCGGUGAAAUGCGUAGAUAUCAGGAGGAACACCGGUGGCGAAAGCGACUCUCUGGCCCGAUCCUGACACUGAGGUGCGAAAGCUAGGGGAGCAAACAGGAUUAGAUACCCUGGUAGUCCUAGCCGUAAACGAUGUCUACUAGCCGUUGGGAGACUUGAUUUCUUAGUGGCGCAGCUAACGCACUAAGUAGACCGCCUGGGGAGUACGGCCGCAAGGUUA